UACGAAGGGGGCUAGCGUUGCUCGGAUUUACUGGGCGUAAAGGGCGCGUAGGCGGUUCGUACAGUCAGACGUGAAAUUCCUGGGCUCAACCUGGGGGCUGCGUUUGAUACGUGCGGACUUGAGUGCGGAAGAGGGUCGUGGAAUUCCCAGUGUAGAGGUGAAAUUCGUAGAUAUUGGGAAGAACACCGGUGGCGAAGGCGGCGACCUGGUCCGAUACUGACGCUGAGGCGCGAAAGCUAGGGGAGCAAACAGG
rnacentral:rRNA from 1 species